GACGAACGCUGGCGGCGUGCUUAACACAUGCAAGUCGAACGGAAAGGCCCUGCUUUUGUGGGGUACUCGAGUGGCGAACGGGUGAGUAACACGUGAGUAACCUGCCCUUGACUUUGGGAUAACUUCAGGAAACUGGGGCUAAUACCGGAUAGGAGCUCCUGCUGAAUGGUGGGGGUUGGAAAGUUUCGGCGGUUGGGGAUGGACUCGCGGCUUAUCAGCUUGUUGGUGGGGUAGUGGCUUACCAAGGCGUUGACGGGUAGCCGGCCUGAGAGGGUGACCGGCCACACUGGGACUGAGAUACGGCCCAGACUCCUACGGGAGGCAGCAGUGGGGAAUAUUGCACAAUGGGCGGACGCCUGAUGCAGAAACGCCGCGUGCGGGAUGACGGCCUUCGGGUUGUAAACCGCUUUCGCCUGUGACGAAGCGUGAGUGACGGUAAUGGGUAAAGAAGCACCGGCUAACUACGUG
rnacentral:rRNA from 1 species